rnacentral:lncRNA from 8 species
GUAGGACGUGACUGAACCACAUGGUAACCUGUAGGGCUAUCCUAGUGGGUUGUAUGAUUCAUGUUUGAUUGGAUAUGCUGAUAACCACAUUUGAAAUGCACAGUGAAAUAACUACCUAUAAAAACUUACUGUGUGCAAAUACUCUAUUUUUUAUUGCACAUACAAAGCAUAAUUUACAACUUGGGGAACUUGGAGGAGACACCAUUAAACAGUGCUAAAUAACAGGCUAAAAGUUAUUGGAUGACGCCAUGGAGCCUUGACUGAUGAGCAAUGUCUGUCAUAUGCAUUACUCAAAUUACUGAAUGUUUCUUUCGAAAUGUGGCUAGUGAGUCAGUCAUUGUCAGCCAGCCAAAUGAAAAAAAAAGUUAAAUACAUGGACGGACGUCAUGAUAAAAGUGACGUCAGGCUUCCCUUAGCUUGCGCCAAGGCCUGAAGUUUUACAAGUAAAAUAACUAUGAUAAAUUUACAUUAUAACUAGAAGAGGUCACGUUAUUAGUCGAAAUAAAUAUUUGUUGAACCGGGUAAAACUGGUCAGACCAGCGAGCAAUUCUGAGAAAUAGAGCGACCUCGGGAUACUUCACCGAGCGCGAAGAGUGGAAGGGAGAGUUGCACCAUCACUUUCUACAAGUUUAACAUUGUUGUUUCACGACAACAUACAAGUAAAAAAUGUAUGAAUUUUCAAUACAUGUCGGGACUGCAAGCAACCCCUUCAACUGUAUGAUAAGAAUAUGGAUACUGAGGUACCAAAUAUUCAAAUCCAUCCAGACACAAGUGGUGUCAUCCUUGACUUCACACGCAACGCCAGGAGUGAAACCGGAUGCAUACAAUCAAAGCAAAGAUAACGGAUUAGAUUUUCAUUGAAGAUAUGAGAUGGAAGGAAAGGAAAUACAUAUUACUGUACAUCCAUAUACAGUGUAUUCGGAAAGUAUUCAGACCCCUUGACUUUUUCCACAUUCUGUUACGUUACAGCCUUA